UACGUAGGGGGCGAGCGUUAUCCGGAUUUAUUGGGCGUAAAGGGUGCGUAGGCGGUAUGUUAAGUCUAAAAUCAAAGCCCGAGGCUUAACCUCGGUUCGUUUUAGAAACUGGCAAACUAGAGUGCAGUAGAGGCAAGUGGAAUUUCUAGUGUAGCGGUUAAAUGCGUAGAUAUUAGAAGGAACACCAGUGGCGAAGGCGGCUUGCUGGGCUGUAACUGACGCUGAGGCACGAAAGCGUGGGGAGCAAAUAGG
rnacentral:rRNA from 1 species